rnacentral:rRNA from 1 species
CGUUCUCGCCGGAUGUAGGAACCGACCCGGGGACCGCCGGGGGCAACCCGGCGCCCCCGAGACGGGGCGAACCACGGUGAAAAUGACGGAUCGUCGGCCCCGCGCCGGCGACUCGCCGAAUGAGUUUCUGACCUAUCAACUCGAGACGGCGGGGUAGAGGCCCGCCGCGGUAACGACGGGUAACGGGGAAUCAGGGUUCGAUUCCGGAGAGGGAGCCCCGAGAAACGGCUACCACUUCCAAGGAAGGCAGCAGGCGCGCAACUUACCCUAAUCUCGAUUCGAGGAGGUAGUGACAAGAAAUACCGAUGCGGGACCCUACGGGUGCCGCGUUCGGAAUGAGUACGAUUCGAACCACCUAACGAGGAACGAUCGGAGGGCAAGUCUGGUGCCAGCAGCCGCGGUAAUUCCAGCUCCAAUAGCGUAC